GAUGAACGCUGGCGGCGUGCUUAACACAUGCAAGUCGAACGGUGAACACGGAGCUUGCUCUGUGGGAUCAGUGGCGAACGGGUGAGUAACACGUGAGCAACCUGCCCCUGACUCUGGGAUAAGCGCUGGAAACGGCGUCUAAUACUGGAUAUGUGACGUGACCGCAUGAUCUGCGUUUGGAAAGAUUUUUCGGUUGGGGAUGGGCUCGCGGCCUAUCAGCUUGUUGGUGAGGUAAUGGCUCACCAAGGCGUCGACGGGUAGCCGGCCUGAGAGGGUGACCGGCCACACUGGGACUGAGACACGGCCCAGACUCCUACGGGAGGCAGCAGUGGGGAAUAUUGCACAAUGGGCGCAAGCCUGAUGCAGCAACGCCGCGUGAGGGAUGACGGCCUUCGGGUUGUAAACCUCUUUUAGCAGGGAAGAAGCGAAAGUGACGGUACCUGCAGAAAAAGCGCCGGCUAACUACGUG
rnacentral:rRNA from 1 species